rnacentral:misc_RNA from 1 species
UCACGCUACAUCAAUUAAGUUACAUCUCUUUUCUUGCAGUUCCCAAACUCCUCACAAUUAGAAUCAUGCCUUCCCCAGUAUUCUGCAACCUACAUUUUGAUCUGCCAAAUCAGCUUCUCAACUUCUCCUUUUAGAUGGGAACGAAUGGUUAGGAGCCCAUAUUAGCUGCAAUUUGUUUAUCAUGGUUUGGACAUAAUGGCACAUGUUGGUUGGGCUCCAUCUGUAUUGUUAUAAAAGAAAAUUUUCCAGUUCCGUGACAUGUGCCACAACUGGUCCCUAGAACUCUUGGGAGUCCAACUCAGGUUUUGAUGGAUAUUCAAGACCCUGAAGUUCGGGCAUUCGCCGCAAAUCUUCUUCUGAAUAAGCCGGAAUGAACCAGUAUCGUUUAUCUGCCCCAAAUACCUGUUCAAAAUUCUUCCUACGACCAAGGUC